AUUGAACGCUGGCGGCAGGCCUAACACAUGCAAGUCGAGCGGAUGAAGGGAGCUUGCUCCUGGAUUCAGCGGCGGACGGGUGAGUAAUGCCUAGGAAUCUGCCUGGUAGUGGGGGAUAACGUCCGGAAACGGGCGCUAAUACCGCAUACGUCCUGAGGGAGAAAGUGGGGGAUCUUCGGACCUCACGCUAUCAGAUGAGCCCAGGUCGGAUUAGCUAGUUGGUGGGGUAAAGGCCUACCAAGGCGACGAUCCGUAACUGGUCUGAGAGGAUGAUCAGUCACACUGGAACUGAGACACGGUCCAGACUCCUACGGGAGGCAACAGUGGGGAAUAUUGGACAAUGGGCGAAAGCCUGAUCCAGCCAUGCCGCGUGUGUGAAGAAGGUCUUCGGAUUGUAAAGCACUUUAAGUUGGGAGGAAGGGCAGUAAGUUAAUACCUUGCUGUUUUGACGUUACCAACAGAAUAAGCACCGGCUAACUUCGUG
rnacentral:rRNA from 1 species